UACGUAGGCAGCAAGCGUUGUUCGGAUUUACUGGGCGUAAAGGGCGCGUAGGCGGCCACCGCAAGUCAAUUGUGAAAUCUCCGGGCUUAACUCGGAAAGGUCAACUGAUACUGCGGGGCUAGAGUGCGGAAGGGGCAACUGGAAUUCUCGGUGUAGCGGUGAAAUGCGUAGAUAUCGAGAGGAACACCUGCGGCGAAGGCGGGUUGCUGGGCCGACACUGACGCUGAUGCGCGAAAGCCAGGGGAGCGAACGGG
rnacentral:rRNA from 1 species